GGAUUCUGGAGAGUGUAGAUUGCGGAUCCUGUGUGUAAACAAAUGGUGUGGUUCCAGGAGGUGCAGAGAGCUGUGGUUUUAUGGCUGCUGCUUUGUAAGCAGUAUCUGGAACGAAUAUGAACCCCAUGGAAAACAGGAGAUAGUGAUGAAGAGCCUGUCUUACACUUGUUAUCUUUGAUCACUGGGGAGGAGUACGUCCUGGCACAUUUGCCUGUUCUCUCAAACAAACCUCCAAAUACCAAAGCCCCAGAAAAUGACUAGCAGUUGGGUUCUAUUAAGACUUUAGCAUGGAAUCACCAAGUGGUUCUUUUGGCAGCAAAAUAAUUUAAAAUUAGCUUAAAUUACAGGGACAGCAUUAUGUUGAAUAAGAUAUUGAUGUGAAACAUACAUGGUACAGUAGGAUACCAACCAUAGGUAGUGGCUUGUUGUAAGCACUUCUGGGUGUUCAGUAUUUUUGUAAUGUAUCCUUUAAGAAAUUUCUGCAUGAGAUAAAAUAGAUAUUCUGACUGUAGUUUUGAUUAGUAAUGUGGUGCAUUAUAAAAAACAGUGCACUUUGAGCAAUAAAUAUCUCUGCCUCACAUAAACAAAAAAAGUAUUUUUUAUAACUUUUGGC